GUAAAGAAAGGCUAUGUUCUCUUAACAAGGAUGGAAAGUAUAACGGCAUACAAAAACCAACGUGGACAAACCAGAUCUGAAACUCCAGAACAAUCUGACACUCCAGUGUCUGCUAAUGACAUGUGUUCCCUUGCUGAAUGGCCAUCCCAUGCUCGCGGCAACCGUGCGCUACUACAGGAUGAAGCUGGUGGACAGAAGAAGAAAGGGCGAGGUGUUCUAAAAGGUUUUAAAGCAUCUAAGAAGCGUUUUGCCAAUGGAUCUGCAAAGCUAAAUAUUACAUUCUCUGAAAAAUUGGGUGGUACAGUAGGAAUGAACUAUCGUUCGUUCAAGGAUGACGUGGUAGUCAUAAUGAAAAGAAAGCUACCACUCAUUGGAGUGAGGACGUGGUCAGACAUUCACCCUACCAUUCAUCGACUCAUUGUUGCAGAUAUGAUAGACAAAUGGGACCCGGAAGAUACACCAGAAACAGAAGAAAAAGUUCUCAAAAUUGCGAAAGAGCAAUAUAGAGGCUGGCGAUCAACUCUAAGCUCCACUUACAAGGCAUACAAAACAGAUACAACUAGAUUGGCUAAUCUGCCGGAAGAUUUGCAACCAGAAGAGUGGGAAUGGAUGAUUGAGUACUUUGGCACUGAUUCAAAAUUUCAGGAUCACAGCCAAACGAACACUGAUAACCGUAAGAAACAGAAGACAAAACACAUAAUCGGAUCAAAAUCUUACUCGCAAGUUAGUUUUGAGAAGAGAAACUUGGAAACUGGAGAAGAGCCAGAUUGUAUUGCUCUGUGGGAACUCACCCACACGAACGAUGGAACAUGGUUUAACACAGAUUCCCAGAAAGUUUACGACAAAGUACUUCAAGAGGUUAAAAUCAAAGAAACUGAAGGUCCACUUUCAAGUGAGCAGAAAAACAAUAUUUUCCAGACCGCUUACAAAGACACUCUGGAAUGCAAGUCAUCGCAGCCUCGUGGGUACGGAUACAUGGCCAAAACUUCAACUGGUUCUGAAAGGUUUCGUAUCUAG
rnacentral:rRNA from 1 species